rnacentral:rRNA from 1 species
AGGACGAACGCUGGCGGCGUGCUUAACACAUGCAAGUGGAGCGACGAACCAGGGCUUGCCCUGGGGCAGAGCCGCGAACGGGUGAGUAACACGUGGGUUACCUGCCUUGAUGACCGGGACAACCCGAGGAAACUCGGGCUAAUACCGGAUGUGCCCGCAAGGGGAAAGGAGGCUUCGGCCUCCGCAUCAAGAUGGGCCCGCGGCCCAUUAGCUUGUUGGUGAGGUAACGGCUCACCAAGGCUUCGAUGGGUAGCUGGUCUGAGAGGACGAUCAGCCACACUGGGACUGAGACACGGCCCAGACUCCUACGGGAGGCAGCAGUGGGGAAUCUUGCGCAAUGCGCGAAAGCGUGACGCAGCAACGCCGCGUGGGGGAAGAAGGCUUUCGGGUUGUAAACCCCUUUCAGUUGGGACGAAGCUUCUCCGGUGAAUAGCCGGACGGAGUGACGGUACCUUCACAAGAAGCACCGGCUAACUACGUGCCAGCAGCCGCGGU